rnacentral:rRNA from 1 species
AAUAGCUUUAGGGCUAGCGUUAUGUUAGAUUACCGGAGGUAAAGCACUGAAUGGUUUAGGGGCUGAUAAAGUUACCGACGCCUAUCAAACUCUGAAUGCCGGAUAAUUGAUGCACAGCAGUCAGACAGUGUGAGAUAAGUUUCAUUGUCAAAAGGGAAACAGCCCAGACCUACAGCUAAGGUCCCAAAUGUAUGCUAAGUGGAAAACGAUGUGGAAUUGCGAAAACAACCAGGAUGUUGGCUUAGAAGCAGCCACACAUUAAAAGAGUGCGUAAUAGCUCACUGGUCGAGUGACUCUGCGCGGAAAAUGUAACGGGGCUAAGCAUACAACCGAAGCUUAGGAUUGUCUAAAGACAGUGGUAGGGGAGCGUUCUGUAUGGGGUGAAGUCGCAGCGAGAGCAGCGGUGGACUGUACAGAAGUGAGAAUGCCGGAAUGAGUAGCGAGAAUUAUGUGGGAAUCAUAAUGGCCGAAAAUCUAAGGUUUCUUGGGGAAGGUUCGUCCGCCCAAGGUAAGUCGGGAGCUAAGCUCAGGCCGCGAGGCGUAGGCGAUGCACAUACGGUAGAAAUUCCGUAACCACCGAACUUUAAGCAUGAGGGACACUUUGAGAUAGCGGAACCCGGGCGUUGGUUGACCCGGGCGAAAGGGACCGAAAUAUAGUAGGGAAGUCCGCGAUGCUUGGAGGCGAGAAAAGCUCAUGUGUAUACUAAGGUGCCCGUACCGCAAACCGACACAGGUAGAUGAGGAGAGAAUCCUAAGGCCAACGGGAGAAGGGUUGUUAAGGAACUCGGCAAGUUGACCCCGUAACUUCGGAAGAAGGGGAGCCUCGAAAGAGGCCGCAGUGAAUAGGCCCAAGCAACUGUUUACCAAAAACACAGGUCUAUGCUAAAUCGAAAGAUGACGUAUAUGGGCUGACGCCUGCCCGGUGCCGGAAGGUUAAGAGGAGAUGUCAGCGCAAGCGAAGCAUUGAAUUGAAGCCCCGGUAAACGGCGGCCGUAACUAUAACGGUCCUAAGGUAGCGAAAUUCCUUGUCAGGUAAGUUCUGACCCGCACGAAAGGCGUAAUGAUUUGGGCACUGUCUCAACAGCCCGCCCGGCGAAAUUGUAGUACUGGUGAAGAUGCCAGUUACCCGCAACUAGACGGAAAGACCCCAUGGAGCUUUACUGCAGCUUAAUACUGAAAUUCGGUAGUACAUGUACAGGAUAGGUGGGAGACUGAGAAAUACAGGCGUCAGCUUGUAUGGAGUCGCUGUUGGGAUACCACUCUUGUACUGCUGGGUUUCUAACCUGCGGCCGUGAAUCCGGUCGGGGGACACUGUUAGGCGGGCAGUUUGACUGGGGCGGUCGCCUCCAAAAGAGUAACGGAGGCGCUCAAAGGU